UNGAAUGCUAAAAGGAAACAGGUGUGAAA
rnacentral:piRNA from 1 species